ACAACUUUUGACGGUGGAUCUCUUGGCUCACGCAUCGAUGAAGAACGCAGCCAGCUGCGAUAAGUAGUGUGAAUUGCAGAAUUCAGUGAAUCAUCGAAUCUUUGAACGCAAAUGGCGCUCUUGGGUUCUCCCAGGAGCAUGUCUGUCUGAGUGUCGG
rnacentral:rRNA from 2 species